rnacentral:rRNA from 1 species
AGGGUUCGAUUCUGGCUCAGGACGAACGCUGGCGGCGUGCUUAACACAUGCAAGUCGAGCGGAGAAUAUAGCAAUAUAUUCUUAGCGGCGGACGGUGAGUAACGCGUGGGUAACCUGCCUUUUACUGGGGGAUAACACUGGGAAACUAGUGCUAAUACCGCAUAAAAUAGUGAAGUGGCAUCACUUCACUAUCAAAGGAGCAAUCCGGUAAAAGAUGGACCCGCGUCCGAUUAGCUAGUUGGAGGGUAACGGCCCACCAAGGCGACGAUCGGUAGCCGAACUGAGAGGUUGAUCGGCCACAUUGGGACUGAGACACGGCCCAGACUCCUACGGGAGGCAGCAGUGGGGAAUAUUGCGCCAAUGGGGGAAACCCUGACGCAGCAACGCCGCGUGAAGGAUGAAGGUUUUCGGAUUGUAAACUUCUUUGAUUGGGGACGAUAAUGACGGUACCCAAAAAACAAGCCACGGCUAACUACGUGCCAGCCGCCGC